rnacentral:rRNA from 1 species
UUCUAAGGGCGGUGAAGUCAGACCGGAAGGACUGGUGGAGCGCUUAGAAGUGAGAAUGCCGGUAUGAGUAGCGAAAGAAGGGUGAGAAUCCCUUCCACCGAAUAUCUAAGGUUUCCUGAGGAAGGCUCGUCCGCUCAGGGUUAGUCGGGACCUAAGCCGAGGCCGAUAGGCGUAGGCGAUGGACAACAGGUAGAGAUUCCUGUACCAGUGCUAAUUGUUUAACCGAUGGGGUGACACAGAAGGAUAGGGAAUCGCACGAAUGGAAAUGUGCGUCCAAGCAGUGAGUGUGAGAAGUAGGCAAAUCCGCUUCUCGCGAAGCAUGAGCUGUGAUGGGGAAGGAAAUUAAGUACGGAAGUUCCUGAUUUCACGCUGUCAAGAAAAGCCUCUAGGAAGAGUAGUACUGCCCGUACCGCAAACCGACACAGGUAGAUGAGGAGAGAAUCCUAAGGUGAGCGAGAGAACUCUCGUUAAGGAACUCGGCAAAAUGACCCCGUAACUUCGGGAGAAGGGGUGCUCUAUUAGGGUGCAAGCCCGAGAGAGCCGCAGUGAAUAGGCCCAGGCGACUGUUUAGCAAAAACACAGGUCUCUGCAAAACCGUAAGGUGACGUAUAGGGGCUGACGCCUGCCCGGUGCUGGAAGGUUAAGAGGAGUGCUUAGCUUCGGCGAAGGUACGAAUUGAAGCCCCAGUAAACGGCGGCCGUAACUAUAACGGUCCUAAGGUAGCGAAAUUCCUUGUCGGGUAAGUUCCGACCCGCACGAAAGGCGCAACGAUCUGGGCACUGUCUCAACGAGAGACUCGGUGAAAUUAUAGUACCUGUGAAGAUGCAGGUUACCCGCGACAGGACGGAAAGACCCCGUGGAGCUUUACUGCAACCUGAUAUGGAAUGUUUGUACCGCUUGUACAGGAUAGGUAGGAGCCGAAGAGACGUGUGCGCUAGCAUACGAGGAGGCAAUGGUGGGAUACUACCCUGGCUGUAUGACCAU